rnacentral:lncRNA from 13 species
CCCAGAUUGUGUUAUGAAUAAGACGGAGUGGGUAUCUCCCUCAGGUUGCUUACAGUAUAGCUGGGAAGUCAGACACUAAACCCAUGAAUGAAAAUGUGUUGGGGACUUCAAAGAAGCCACUGAGUGCUCACUGCAUCAAGCACCUGGAAGACCAAACCAUGAGGUCAGAGCAUGGAGGGUGAGACCAUUCCGGUUUACAAGGCUUCUAACUCUACAUCACCAGAAUGUCCUCUAAUUCUACAUUUCUGGAGGAGAGAGGCUGAUUGGGUUACUCUGGGUCAGGACUCUAUCUCCUAUGCCAUCAAGAGUGUGUGUGUGUGUGUGUGUGUGUGUGUGGUGGGUGGUGGCAUGAAUCAAUAUAAACAUAGCAGCCAAGAGUCCUAAUUUUGAAGAAGGAGGCGAGGAAGAACCAUUUGCACUGGCUGGAUGCACCAAGGGCUACAGUAAAAACUAGGAAGAACACCAAGAUUUAAAGAGCCGGAGGAAGAGGAGCUGUGGGGAAGAGAAGCAAAUGAGGAGCAUCCACAAAGUCAGAGAGAAAGCCAGAGUCAGGGCUUCCGGCUGCUGAGUGAGUUGUGCAGCUGCUCCAGCUGCAGUAGAUUGCUAAUUUCAGGUUGUUUUGUUCUCAGAGUUCUCCCUCUGAGCCACGGAGGUGACAGUCCUACAUACUUCCGAGGAUGUUGAGUGUGCAGAAUAAGACGCUGCACCCUCAGCUCAGUGAUACGUGAGGUGUGACUAUACUGACUCAGGAGUGCGGCUUAUGACGAAGAAGGGCUGUGAUUUUAGCAUCUGGGAGUCCUUUUCUUGGCAGGCUGCAGACACAUGCGUUUGGAAAAUACGAAGGAAGAAGUCCCAAAAUGGCCUUUGCCAUGGCGCUCAGCUAGAAUUGUCGACCUCAGAGGAUAAGCCUUCUGAAAGGGACACCCUGCAGCCUGGCCACAACAAUGUGGCCACAGAUUAUGCCCUAGAGGGUGGCACAACCCUGGUGGCGCUCUCCACAGGGCAAGGUGUGGACCUCUUCAUGCUUGACCCGGUAUGUACAGAAUAUGACAGCAUCUGGGCUUGGGGACCUGAUGGGCCUCUGUGCUUCAGUGCGAGUCCCCUGGGGUGAUUUCCUGGUCAUUCCUAAUACUUGUUUUGGGGGUCAGAGAGCCUGGAAGCCUGGUUUUGGGAGCUAGCACCAUCAUCAGAAGCCAUGAAGGGCCUCUUUUCUAGUGAGGGCACCGGGGGUAGGAGUGUCCUGCAGAGCCGGUUGCAUCAACUCAGGCCCUGUCCUCGAGUUCAUUUUUCAAAAAUGCAGUCAAUCUCUUUGGCUUAUGAGAACUUCAUGAUUUAAGAAUCGCCACACUGCGAGUUCCCAGACAGAAGCAUGAAUUCUUUAGAGCAGCCCCAUCCAGUAGAAUGCUCUGUGAAUUUUGCUUUUAAAGUGGAUGCUUUGUCUAUCACUUGUGAAAUGCUUUGCCAAGUAUAUUGAGGUCUUGUGAAAACUCAGAUAAUGUUGACCAAUGACCACUUCAAAACCUCUUGUGUUCACUUAGAUGAAAGGUCAGUAUUUAAAUUUAAUUUAGAUGUACAGAUGUUACUGGGCAGGUGCUGUGUCCCAAAGCACCAUUUCAGGCAGUGGAGAUACAGCGUUGACACAUGGCAGCCUUUGUGGAGUUCACAUGUCAGUUUAUAUAUGUGGAGAGAGGGGGGUUGCAAAUUUCAAAACGGAACAGUUAACUAACAAAACAGCGUUUACAGUAUGGAAAUCGAGAAACUUUUCAAAUAGAAUCUUUUCACCUAUAAACCCAUUAGACCAAGGCCCAUUGCUGUGCCAAUUUCCCAAUGCCACAGUUUCCCUUUAUUUCCAAAGAAGCCAGAAAACCCUGAGAAAUCUAUGGCUUACACAUAUUACUCUCGGGCAAUUAUAGAAUAACAGCUAACACAUAAUUCUUAAUGAGUUGUAGGAAUGUAGGUACCUGUCCUAGGGAAUUUACAUCUAUUAAUGCAUUUAAACAUGACAGCAGCCCUGUGAGGUAGGUCCUACCAUUAUUUAUAUUUUCAGAUGGGGAAAGGGAGGCACAGAGAGGGUGAGUUGCCUAAGGUCAAGCUAGUGACCGGUGGUGUCAGGUGUCACACUCUGGCACUCUGUGCUUUAACUACUAUACCAGACCCAAUUUCAAAAACAAAUGCUCUUGAGUACAAGUAAAAUAUUUCCAAGAACAUUCUGAGCAGUUCUAAAGGCAAUGGGAGGUGCUUUGACUCUGGGAACUAACUCGAGGAUUCCCAGGCACAGACAGAGCCUGCUUUCUACCCUGAAACAUGACAGCAGGGCCCAGUCCAGACAUAGGUGGGCACCAGAGCUUGUCACCAUGACAAAAGGAAGAAGUGAACCAUAGCAUAAUCUUUCCUGAUCUCCGUGUAUUAUCCUGAAAUCCCUUUGGAUCAAGUCACCCAAGUAUAAAGAACAUUUGAGCAAAGGAACAUUUGAGCAAAGACUCUGCACAAAGCUUAGUGUCUGUUUGGGAUGUUGACGUCCAGUGGACGUAGCUGGUGGCAGUUGUCACAGAUAGAAAUGCCAUGGAGGGCAGCCAGCAGUGAUGGAGGCAGCAUUCUUUAGUGGCUCAAACCCAGCCUGUGAGAUCUGUGGGUUUGCAGAGCUGGUGAUUUGAUUUUGUCAGAACACUCAUAUUGUUCUGCACAGAGUAACCACCUCCUGUUAACCAACUCCCCCUUGUGGGAUAAAGCUCAAUGUCAAGGCAUUCGUUGACAAACAGGAGCCCUUGUUUCUCAGUGACAAGGAGUUGGUGCCUGAUCAUCAGGGACCCUCUUAUCCGAGUGCAUGAGAGCCCAUAUUAAAAAUCAGCGGUUGCUGGUGACCACACAAUCAGAAUAAAAGGACGUAUUUUCCAGGUUAAUAAAAUGAU